rnacentral:rRNA from 1 species
AUUGAACGCUGGCGGCAGGCCUAACACAUGCAAGUCGAACGAGUGGCGGACGGGUGAGUAAUGUCUGGGAAACUGCCUGAUGGAGGGGGAUAACUACUGGAAACGGUAGCUAAUACCGCAUACCAUCGGAUGUGCCCAGAUGGGAUUAGCUAGUAGGUGGGGUAAAGGCUCACCUAGGCGACGAUCCCUAGCUGGUCUGAGAGGAUGACCAGGCAAAAUGGAACGGAGCCAAGGGGCAUGAUCCUACGGGAGGGAGCAGUGGGGAAUAAUGCACAAAGGGCGCAAGCCUGAUGCAGCCAUGCCGCGGGGAUGAAGAAGGCCUUCGGGUUGGAAAGGACUUUCAGCGGGGAGGCGUUACCCGCAGAAGAAGGACCGGGUAACUCCGUGCCAGCAGGCGCGGUAAUUC